rnacentral:ncRNA from 1 species
UGCACUCUGGAGAAGCCCGCAGUUUGGCGGGUGCCGAAGGUGUACGAUUCUGAGUGGGAAAGCAGAGUCAAUCUCUCAGGCAAAAGGACAGAGC